rnacentral:lncRNA from 1 species
UAUGCUUCUGGCUACAAACUGGAGGUUCCAACCACUCCUCCCUGGGAUUAAUUUGCUAGAAGGGCUCACAGAAUUCAGGAAGACCCAUUUACUCACUAGAUUAUUGAUUUAUUAGAAAAGGUUAUUGAAGGGUAGGAAUCAACAACCAGAUGAAGAGAUAUGUAGGGCAAGGUCCUGAACAAGGUCCCAGCACAAGGGCACAGAAACAUUCUGGUCCCCUGACAAGGAAACUCUGAAAAAGAACCCAAAAUCUGUCUUGUGGGGUUUUACGGGGGUUGCAUUACAGUCAUGACUGACAAAGUCAUUGGUCAAUGGUGACCGACCAUCAGCCUCCAGCCUCACUCCUGUCUGGGAAAUCAAGGGGGUGAGACUGAAAGUUACAGAUCUCUUAACAGCCUGAUUGUUUCCCCUGGCAACCUGCCCCCAACCUUCUGUGCUUCCAAAAGUCACCUAAUUCAAAUAACAAAAGACAACUCCAUCACUCUCAACACUUAGGAAAUUCCAAGGGUUUGGGGAGCUGUGGGCCAGGAGCAGUGGCUGGAUGAAGACCAAAUAUCAAUGAGAAAUAUAAUUUGUAUAUUGGUCAUCUGAAUGGCCAAACAUAAAUUUCCCACAAAUCACCCUAUCGCCCCAUCCUUCCCUGGAUGAGUUAGUGAUGAUGGUUCACACUGUCACUAACUGUCACUGUCACUAAGUGGAGUGGCUAGAGCACAGACCUCAAGGUCCCACUCCCUGGGUUGGGGCCCUGGUUCCCCUCCUCCUGGUCCCUGGGAUCUUAGGCCAUUUUCUGGACCUCCCCAGCCUCAGUGACCUGGUCCCUCCGGUGGACAUGGUACGGGCUCACGGGGUCAUGGCCGGAGCAAAGGUGAAGGCGCUCUAAUUGUCCUUCGAUGUCAUAAUCACUGCUAGUUGCAGAGUGUGUAUGUACCAGCCAGCCCAAGUCCCUCAGAGCAGUAAUUUUUUUUUUCCUGUCUUUUUAGGGCCACACCAAUGGCAUAUGGAGGAGCGGCCCAAGAAAUAGCAAAAAAAGACAAAAAAAAAAAGAAUCUGAAGAAGAAUCUAUAUAUCUAUUUACAUAUAGAUGCAUAGAUACAUAAUUGAAUCUCUUUGCUGUAUACCUAAAAAUUAACACAACAUUGUAAACCAACUCUACUUCAAUUUUUAAAAAAGGCCUGUGGGAGGUCAGGGAAGGGCUCUUGAAGGAGGAAUUCUAAGCCUGGUUCUGAAGGAGUCAGACAGAUGCAGGAAUGAGAAAUGCAGAGGAAUAGAGGUGAAUUCCAGAAACUUUAAGUGUGCUGUUCUUUUUGGCCCCCAAGACAUGUGCAGAAGUGACCAAGGAUGAGGCUGGACCCAGAGACGGUAAAGAACCAGGUAACAACGGCCUGGCCGCCAUGAUGUGCAGUCUGGAUGUUGCCACAGAGGCAGUAGAAAGCUCUUGAAGGGACUUAUGGGAGGGAACAGCGUUUGGAAAUGAUCCAGUUUGCAGAUUACUUUGGCGGCCAAUGUUGAGUAUGAAUGAGAGGUGGACUCUGGGAGGAAAGAUGGCUGAGAAAUUGUUGAUGCUUGAGUAGGGGAAAGCACCUUAUAACAGGUUCCUCAGGACAGCAGCAAGAUCCUCUUCUGACACAGGUAGGAAUCUGCCUGACUCUGUCCUGCUUAUGGACUAUGUGUAUAGAACACCACAGCCCCCAAGCAGGAGUUCAAGAUAGGUGUGUGGGGUCUGUGGAUCUGCCUUUGUCUCUAAGAUCUGCAUGGGGAACCAAGGUCUUCAGCUUCCUAGAGACAUAUUGCAGCUCCCCUGGGGCAAAAGGUACUGGCUGGAAUCCCAGAGGGGAAAUAGAAACAAAGGCUUCAGAAGGGUUCCCUCUUAAAGCCCACCUAAAUGGCUUCAGAGAUGCCCACAGAAGGCAUGCUACCCAAACUCUCGACCCCACGUAGGUCGGAAAUGCCAUAAAGCAGGUUUUAUUCUUCAGGAAGAAACCCUGCAGAGUUCUCAACCACCCAUCCUUCCUGGCAUCAGGGAAAAGGGGUAGGAGGCUGACACCCCUCCUCUCCUGUCUGAGAACCCAGUGCACCAGAGCCUGGAAGUGGAGAGCAGGAUGGGGUGCUGAGCAAGUUUGCACGGCAGAGGGAGGAUGGAGACAGGAGGGCAGAGAAGGGAGAUGUUUCUCAUUGCACGAAUAUGCCAGGCCUCAGCUGGGACACCCUCCUUGGGUCAGAACACCAUCCUGACUCACCCAGGGCCACAAUGUAGAGAAGAGACUAUGCUUGAAGUCAGGCAGAAUGACCAGAGUGGCUAGAGAAUCCAAUCGGGGUCUUGGUCUCCAGUCUUCUAACUUCUCUGGUAGAAGAAGAAAUGGGAGCUCAGAAACUCCAAAGGGGACAGUAGGCUCCACCUCACUGUAAGUGCAGCAUCUGGGCAGUGCUGGGCUGUGAGAAUCCUGCCACCCCAUGUACCUGACAGGCACUGCCAGUUGAGGAUGCACUUCCCACUGAAGCGAGGCUGGGCUGGUCUUCCCCACCCUUCCCUGCACCCCACACCCAGGUGCUCUGACAAGGGGGGACCUGUUGGGUCUUGUCACCCACUGAGGAAGACUGCCUGGUUCCUGGGAGAUGGCACAGAGCAGAGUUAGGAUGCUCCCCUUUCAGAGCCUUGGUUUCCUCAUUAGUAGAAAGGGGACGUGAAGAACCACCAUGCCUUCUUCAGGGAACUGCUGCAACGGGCCAGUAUCCUGCAGGUGCUCAGGAAGAUGAGGAAAAGGCCUCUACCAUGGACUUUCCCCUUUUUUAACACCCUUUGAAAUGCAUCAUCACAAAGAUAUGUUUGGUUGCUUAUAUGGAAGUGUUUUCCCCCUGCAGACAGCUUUGAUUUAAAAAAACAAAAAAACAAAAAACAGUGAGAGACAAACAUCGUCUAAUAUCAUGUAUAUGUGGACUCUUAAAAAAAGGAUACCAAUGAACUUAUCUGCAGAACAGAAACAGAAACAGACUCAGACUUUGAAAAAUUUAUGGUCACCAAAGGGGAGAGGUUGAGGGAGGGAUGGACUGGGGGCAUGGGAAUGACACAUGCACACUGAGGUGUAUGGAAUGACUAGCCAAUGGGGACCUAGCAGAGGGAACUCUACCCAAUAUUCUCUGAUAAUCUACAUGUAUGACUGAGUCACUUUGUUGUACAGCAGAAAUUACCACAAUGUUGUAAAUCAACUAUCCCUCAAUAAAACUUUAAAAAAUGAAAAAAAAAUUUAAAUAAAAAUUAAAAAAAAAACAAGCUGGAGAGUUUAAACAACCAAGCUGAGUUGGAAUUCUUGGCAUCUAGCAGCAGCUACCCACUCGGGGAGGAGAAGCUGGUUCUCUAACUUAUUUAUUCCACCCACGAUUAAUCACCUGUCAUUGAAAAAUGAUUCUAAGAGGAAAAAAUGUACAGCUGCAUUACUAAUCAAAGGAUGUGUGUGUGUGUGUGUGUGUGUGUGUGUGUGUCACAUUUUAUCUUAUUAAUUAGGCAGAGGUUAUCCGAAAGAAACUUUCCCAAAGCCACUGAGGACCCACUGGGCACACACCGAUGAGGGCAGACCUCCCCCUCACUUCUCUGCUGUGCAUUUGGCCCUGCACCCAGAAUCUUGGAAAUGUUCCUCUAAGAGUCUGUUCUGAGAAAAUACCUGAAAUAUCGACCAAGAUUUCAAUUUUAAAAGGUCCAUAAUAGCUGUAUUUACAGUGAGGAGAAUAUAGAACUGUUUAAGCAUUCAUCAUUAGGGGAAUGUUAGGAGAAUUACAAUGCAGACUUGCAAUUAGAUAUUCUGCAGCAAUAAAAUGGUGUUGCAGAAAGUUUUUAAUAAGUUGGGGAAAUGCUUGUGAUAUAAUGUGACAUGAAAAAUGUGAAAAUACACAAUGUAAUGCAGGCACACUAAAAGGCACAGAGAAGAUGGGUAGCCCAUCCACUUAUCAAUAGUGAUACUCGGGCCGAGGCCACUGAGAGAAGCUCCCAAGUACUCAGGGACACUCUUCUGAGAUGCCUUUCCCUGUGGGAUGUGGCUCUUCUGUGUGACCUUCUGUGGUCUCACCCUCAGGAUGGGUCCUUCACCCUGCUGUCUACUUCCUGUCAAAGGGCCACACGGUCUCUGGCAGUCUGCACACCAUGCAUCUCCCCGCUCCUCUGCAAGGAUGCCUGCAACAUACACCACAGCUCACGGCAACACUGGAUCCUUAACCCAGUGAGCAAGGCCAUCCUCCUGGAUACUAGUCAGGUUCUUAAGCUGCUGAGCCACAAUGGGAAUACCACAUUUUUUUUUAAUGGCCACACCCAGGGCAUAUGGAAGUUCCCUGGCCAGGGGUUGAAUCCCAGCUGCAGCUAUGACAACACCAGAUCCUUUAACCCACUGCACCAGGCUGGGGAUUGAACUUGUGCCUCCACAGCAACCAGAGCCACUCCAAUCAGAUUCUUAAUCCACUGCACCAUGGCGGGAAUUCCAGAGCUUCUUCACAGACAGUAAUAGGUAGGAAUCAAGGAAUCACUGUUUUCUGAUGUUCCCCUCCUAUCAUGUACUUUUCCAAGUCUCUUACCAAAAAUACAUAAUCGGGGGAAAGGCAGUAUAAAUUAUAUGAACUUCAUCCAAGAAGCAGCAUUGCUGCAACUGCAGGGUAUUUUAGCAUCUGCCCUCCUGCCAAAUCCCUGGGUGUUUCCCUGGUGAAGACCAUGUACCUAGGAGGGGUCUGGAGAACCAGAGGAACAGUGCUGAGUAUCACCCAAACUAUACUCAAGGCACACAGAAGUGACAGAGACCCACACCCAGCCCCAGCCACACUGCUCGGAAAACACAACUUCCAUGUGCGGAAGCUACCUUGGAGGGCAGGUGAGAUGGGAGGGCGGCCAGCUGCUUGGAGGCGAGAGGUUGUACAGCCCAGCUGCUCACUGAGUGGAUGGGCAGACCAAGGAGAGGUGGCCAGGGGCCUGUUGGACACAACAGUGCCCUGAAGGUGAACCAUGACGGUUCAUGAGCAUCACUGCCUACUAGGCAUUACUCAGUCACUCAUUUAAUGCUCUCAGAAGUCCUUUGAAGUUGGGUUAUUAUGCUCCUUUCACUUUAGGAAACUGAGACAGAGACACAUGAGGAAACUCACCCAGAUCGCUUAGAAUAAUGUAGCAAAACCAGAAUUUGAACCCAGGCUUUAGCCCAUGCACUUAGUCACUGCACGGUGUUUUAGAAAUGGGUGAUUCCGAUAUGGGAGCACUCCAAUGAGUU